UACAGAGGGUGCGAGCGUUAAUCGGAAUUACUGGGCGUAAAGCGUGCGUAGGUGGUGAGGUAAGUCGGAUGUGAAAGCUCGGAGCUCAACUCCGAAAUGGCAUUGGAAACUACCUUGCUCGAGGGUUGGAGGGGGGACUGGAAUACUUGGUGUAGCAGUGAAAUGCGUAGAUAUCAAGUGGAACACCAGUGGCGAAGGCGAGUCCCUGGACAACUCCUGACACUGAGGCACGAAAGCUAGGGGAGCAAACAGG
rnacentral:rRNA from 1 species